rnacentral:rRNA from 1 species
AACGAACGCUGGCGGCAUGCCUAACACAUGCAAGUCGAACGAGACCUUCGGGUCUAGUGGCGCACGGGUGCGUAACGCGUGGGAACCUGCCCUUAGGUUCGGAAUAACUCCCCGAAGGGGUGCUAAUACCGGAUAAUGUCUUCGGACCAAAGAUUUAUCGCCUUUGGAUGGGCCUGCGUUGGAUUAGCUAGUUGGUAGGGUAAAAGCCUACCAAGGCGACGAUCCAUAGCUGGUCUGAGAGGAUGAUCAGCCACACUGGGACUGAGACACGGCCCAGACUCCUACGGGAGGCAGCAGUGGGGAAUAUUGGACAAUGGGCGAAAGCCUGAUCCAGCAAUGCCGCGUGAGUGAUGAAGGACUUAGGGUUGUAAAGCUCUUUUACCCGGGAUGAUAAUGACAGUACCGGGAGAAUAAGCUCCGGCUAACUCCGUG